GGGGCGGGACCGGGAGCCGCGAGCGCAAGGCCUGCCGGGUACCACUGAAGUCCAGCUGUUGGUGUGAAGCAGAGUGAUUCAGGGAUCCUGAGGCUGGUAACCUGACAAGAGCUGUACUUCAAGCAAAUGGAGACUCAUGGAAACAAGAGGCAAAUACACACCUUCCACUGGGAAGUUGUGGGGUCCUGCCUGGGAAACAACCCCUGACUCCAUCGGUAGCCACAGGGUGUAAGCUCCUGGAGAAGGCAAUGUCUUGGACAGUAAGACUCGAUCUGGAGGAGAAGGAAAGACUUUCCAGACCGCUGCAGCAGGGUCUCCAGACCUCCAGACCAGCCUGUGGAAACAAACAGAAGCCUGGCUGUCACUAGGGUGCUACAGAUUCAAGCUGUCCUGAUAGAGGAGACGUUGGGAGGAUGAGUGAGUGGCGCAAACUCCCUGAAAAGGCAGGUAUGCUGCUGGUGGUGGGUAGGUACUAUUACUUCAUAACUAUCUGGAAGAAGAGGCCCACUGGGCUCAGGGCACACUAGGUCCUUGCCUAUGGUGACAAUUAAGUCAGUACUUUGCAAGUGAGAGUUCAAGUCUUCAGGCUGACACCACCAUCACCUGGACAGUGGAGAGUGCCAAACUGGGUGGUACCCAGGGCCUUAAACGUGCUGUGUAAGUGCCCUGCCAUGAACCGCGUCCCAAUGCAAUUGGGGAUCUUUGGGCUAGGCACUUACGUAGGAGCCCUUGGUCUGGGAAAUGAGUGGCAAGCAGAAGUUUAGAAAUGGGAUCCAUCAGGAAAUGAUUAUGAAAGACCAGAGAGGACAGAAAAUGGGGCCAGAACUAGAACAGUUAUCAGUCAGAGAUGCAAGGAAUGAAAUUGGACAACAUUAAAGUGGAUUAAAAUUCCAGUAGCCUCAGCAUCCCUAAGGCAGAGCUGGGACAGGCUUACUACUGAAUUUCCCCACCUAAUUCAGUGCCUAGUAGAGAGUGGGUACCCAGCCAACUCCUAGUCACAACUGAAUAGGUGAGAACAUAUUAUUUCAUCAUACCAAACUAUUUCCCUUAUCCGAUUAUAAAACCCACCCAGCCAGAUUUGAGUCUCAUAGCUGUGGGUUCCCUUUUGGAGGCCUAAAAUACAAACAUUCAUUAGGCUAUAGACUUAGAAUUGAUUCAUUGAAGGUUUAGCUCAGUGGCUGAGCACUUACAUAGCAUGCGUAGUAUUGUAGAUAAGUAAUGUGGUAUACUUGGGAGACUGAAAUGGAUUGAUGUGAGUUCGAGGUCAACCUGGGGCUUCAUAGAGUGUGCCAGGCUAUUCAGGGCUAUAAAACAAGACCCUCUCUCAAAAACAAGUUGAUUCAGGCCAAGUGUAGUAGUGCACACUUUUAAUCCCAGUGCUGGAGAGGCAGAGCAGACUGAUCUCUGUGAGCUCAAGGUCACCCUGUUCUACAGGGCGAGUUCCAGGACAGCCAGGGUUACAUAGUGAAACUCUGUCUCAAUAACCAAAACAAACAAAAAAGACAACUCACUACAUUGCUUUCAGUGUGAUGUAUAAUAUAUACCCCGAACAAAUGAGCAGGCAGGCAAGCAAGAAAAGGCGUCUCAGGUGGGACCCAAGGCAGUUGAGUCUUGCCGUGUGGUUCUGAGUAUCACUCUUGAAAGCCUCCAGGGAUGUAGCAGAAUUUACACAAAUCUACACAUGCUCACAUGAAGGUGACCACUAUUUUGUUCUCUACCAUCUUGCCUGACCUUGAACUUGGCAUGAGUGAGAGUCUUCCAGUGUACCUGGCUUUUCUCUCUUAUCUGUGACAGUCAUAUGUCCACAUGGAGACUGAGUAUCUUAUGAUCAAAUGCCCAAUAAGAGGCAACUGAAGAAAGGAACGGGUUUUUUUUUGUUUGUUUGUUGUUGUUGUUUGGUUUGGUUUUUAAUUUACAGUUUAUGGCUACAAUCCCUCAUGGCAGGUGUGACAUGGCAGAAGGCACUGCUGAUGACCUUAGAAGCAAGUGUGUGAGGCUGCCAUGUUCACUUCUCCAUAGAUAGGAAGAUUAGGGAAUGCCAAACCUCUUCUUUCUCCCCUUUUUAUUCAGUUCAGGACGCAGCACAUAGGAUGAUGCUGCCUACCCUCGGGUGACCAAUCCUGUGUAACCUGCAUGGCUUGGGAGUGCCCAGACUAUGGCGAUGGAUGAUGACCAGGAGACCUAAGAAAGGACAGAGUCAAAGACAUACAUCUGGAUCGUGGCUUUAUUACAUAUAGCUGAACAAGCUUAUUGUAUACAGCUAAAGGAGGAGUCAGGUUUAGUUCAUCUCAGAAAGAGGUCUCUCUAGGGCUGUGGUCUCCACCGGUAACACGUGGGAGAAGGAAAGCUGUGGCCGUACUUUCUGCAUACAUAGCUUUUAGCAAAAGGCCAAUUCUUCAGCAUUUGUACUUGCACCAAAGGAAGGCGUUGUCAUUCCUCUGAGCCUUGCUCAGGGAAGGGUUUGACAUUUCCAUGGGUCACUGACAUGGUCAUUUUUGAGUUAACACUUGCCCACUUCAUCCACUCCCCAUACUUAGGGACCAGCUCUCACACUUAGUCCUCUCUGGAAACACCCUCGUAAACACACCCAAAGGUGUUGCUAACUGAUGCCCUAGACAUUUAUUAAUCCAAUCAAAUGACAAGGAAGCUUAGCCAUCAUAUUGUGUGUCAGUCAUUUUUUUUUUUACAUUGCUUCCUUGUUGCCCAUUGUGCGGCUAUACUGCCAUUUAUCCACGCUCUUGUGGAUGGCUGGCCACUGGGGAUGUUCACACAUAGCUAUGCACAUAUGAGGGAUGGGCUCUCUUUUCUGUUAAUAACUGAUCAUAGGAUUCUGGCAUUUAUUUAUUUGUAUGUGUAUGCGCCUUAUACAUAUAUACAUAGGCCCUUAUAUGUGAAGAUCAAAGGAUAACCUUGGGUGUUGGUUCUUAUGUUUCAAGUUAUUUAAGGUCUUUGUUGUUUAUAGAUGUGUACACACUUUGCUCAUCCUGGGAUUCUUUUUGCUCUACCUCCCAACUCAUUUCAGGCUAACUGGGAUUGUUUUGUUUUGUUUUGUUUUUCAAGACAGGGUUUUUUCUGUGUAGAUUUGGAGCCUGUCCUAGAACUUGUUCUGUAGACCAGGCUGGCCUUGAACUCACAGAGAUCCCCCUACCUGUUUCCCAGUGCUGUCAUUAGAGGCGUACGCCACCACCGCCUUUACUAUAUGGUGCUACACCAAACUUUGUGUGGGUUCUGGGAUUGAACUCAGUUCUUCACAUUUUUGGAGUGACGACUCCCCAGAUUUUGAUUUUUUAAAUGAAAGUAUCCAAUAUUCCUUAUCUUUUGGUAUCUCUGGAAAUAGUGGACAGAGUUUUGGUUUUUGAAGGCCAGGACAUUUUUAAUAGUCCCCAUUCUCGAGCCCCAUUGCCAGAUGUAUUUAUUCAGUUAGUGUGAGUAAAAGUUCCUCUGAGGGUGUUGGGCUACAAACUUUUCUUGGGAAAAUGUGUACAGUCCUCUACUCACAACAGAUAGGGAGCCCACGAUGGAUAAAAUAUGGAUAUACUUAAGUCCCACUUGGUGAACCCAUAAGUUUUAUUGAAGUUACUUACAAGAAUAUGAGUGGAGGGUUAUUUGUAGGACCAGAAAUAACUCAGUGGAGUUUUACCACCAAAGCCCACCCCCACUUAAGUGACAGCUCACGGAAGCUGGAAACCUGGAGCACAGUUAGCUUGGAAGCUGUCCUUCAGAGCAGCUCAGCUGCUCUGAACCUCUUCCAGGCAGCUCAGCGGUUCUUUUGUUUCUUCUAAGUAGUCUGGCUGGUCCCUGCUUCCUUCAGUUUUCUCAGCUUGUCUCAGAGUUUUCUCUGUUUGUCUGAGAGUGACUGGCUUAUAUACUUUUGGGGUAGGAGUAGCCUAGUGAAUCUGAUCAGUUUCAGGAACUUCCAGAAGCGUUUCAAAUGGUUUGUUUUCUGUAUGUGCAGGACGGAGUGUUUCGCUCUCUUUCAAAUGGAAUAUCUUGUCGUUUCACCUGCUUGUAAACACCGUGUCCUAAAAUAGCCUGUUUCGUUUUCCCCUUACAUCGAAUGUCUUGAGAAGCUUUCCUCCAUUACAGAAGGUUGUGGUCUGGGAGGAAACUGUUACUUAACAGAUGGGUAGGACUCUUUUGGACAAGAUGGGGCCGGGUCAUGUGGAGGCUGAACCUGGAGCAUCAGAAAAGGCACAGCCCCUCCUCACAGUCCAGAGCGCCUCCUUUUUCCUUCCCUUACUGUGCUGCAGAUCUCAGAAACCCCCAAAGUGGCCCUGGAAGGAAGAAGACAAAGUUCUUUGGAGAUGAGCCAGCCUGUGGCACUCUGAAGUCCAAAGUCAGUUGACUAUGGCCCAGGCCUACCUAGUCUUCAGGUGGGAGGGCUGGCCUGUGGUGUGAAUCCCAAGGGGAGGCUCUAUUAAUAGUGGCUACUUCUUUGGAUUGUGAGGACUAGUCAUGCAUGAAGGCAUGUGCCUGUAAUCCCAGUGUGAAGGAAGUAGAAGCAGAAGGGUCAGAAGUUGAAGGUCAUCCUCUCCUGUAUGUGUCUGUGAAGAACAAGCUUUUCUCUGAGAAGGCUAGCCCAGCAAGGGCCAGGAUCCUCCAAACCUCCCCAUCCUGUGAGCCUCUGUGUACACGCCUGUUUGCCCAAGCCCUGGAUGCCAGACAUUCCUGAGAUUUGACUCCAUCACACCCUCCCCUUCACGCCAAUUAUGAAUCAUAUCGAAUCUCGAAGUCAAGCUCCUUCCAGUGGAAUUAGACACAGUCACCACCUGCUUUAGGAUAAAAAAACAGAGUGAACUUCCUGCCCCAGUGUGGCUGUUCACCUGGUUUGGGUCAUUGUACACCAGCGUGCAAAAAGUAAAUUGCUUCAGUGAGCUCCUCU